rnacentral:rRNA from 1 species
AGCGUAGACGGUUUUGCAAGUCUGAAGUGAAAGCCCGGGGCUUAACCCCGGGACUGCUUUGGAAACUGUAGAACUAGAGUGCAGGAGAGGUAAGUGGAAUUCCUAGUGUAGCGGUGAAAUGCGUAGAUAUUAGGAGGAACACCAGUGGCGAAGGCGGCUUACUGGACUGUAACUGACGUUGAGGCUCGAAAGCGUGGGGAGCAAACA